GACGAACGCUGGCGGCGUGCUUAACACAUGCAAGUCGAACGAUGAAGCCAGCUUGCUGGUGGAUUAGUGGCGAACGGGUGAGUAACACGUGGGUGAUCUGCCCCAAACUUUGGGAUAAGCCUGGGAAACUGGGUCUAAUACCGAAUAUGACCGAUACUCGCAUGGGUGUUGGUGGAAAGCUCCGGCGGUUUGGGAUGGGCCCGCGGCCUAUCAGCUUGUUGGUGGGGUAAUGGCCUACCAAGGCGACGACGGGUAGCCGGCCUGAGAGGGCGACCGGCCACACUGGGACUGAGACACGGACCAGACUCCUCCGGGAGGCAGCAGUGGGGAAUAUUGCACAAUGGGCGCAAGCCUGAUGCAGCGACGCCGCGUGAGGGAUGACGGCCUUCGGGUUGUAAACCUCUUUCACCAGGGACGAAGCGAAAGUGACGGUACCUGGAGAAGAAGCACCGGCCAACUACGUG
rnacentral:rRNA from 1 species